GAUGAACGCUGGCGGCGGGCCUAAUACAUGCAAGUCGAGCGAACGGACGAUAAGCUUUCUUCUCUGAGGGUAGCGGCGGGCGGGUGAGUAACACGUGGAUAACCUACCUAUAAGACUGGGAUAACUUCGGGAAACCGGAUCUAAUACCGGAUAAUAUUUUGAACCGCAUGGUUCAAAAGAGAAUGGCGGUCUGGCCGUCACUUUGAGAUGAUUCCGCGCUGCAUUGGCUAGGUGGUAAGGUAACGGCUUACCAACGAAACGAUGCAUAGCCGAUCUGAGAGUGUGCUCGCCCACACUGACAGUGAGACACGCCACAGUCUUAUACGGGAGGCAGGUGUAGGGUAUCGUCCGAUGUGCGCGAGCGCCUGACAGAGCAACGCCGCGUGAGUGGUGAACGUCCUCGGAUCGUAAACCUCUGUUUUUAGGAGAGAACCUAUGUGUAAGUACCUGUGCACAUCUAGGCGGUCCAUAAUAAGAACGCCGCGGAUCUCCGCG
rnacentral:rRNA from 1 species